UACAGAGGAUGCGAGCGUUAAUCGGAAUUACUGGGCGUAAAGCGUGCGUAGACGGUUAUUUAAGUCGGAUGUGAAAGCCCCGGGCUCAACCUGGGAAUUGCAUUCGAGACUGAAUAGCUAGGGUACGGUAGAGGGAAGUGGAAUUUCCGGUGUAGCGGUGAAAUGCGUAGAUAUCGGAAGGAACAUCAGUGGCGAAAGCGACUUCCUGGACCAGUACCGACGUUCAGGCACGAAAGCGUGGGGAGCAAACAGG
rnacentral:rRNA from 1 species